AACGAACGCUGGCGGCAUGCCUAACACAUGCAAGUCGUACGAGCCCUUCGGGGUUAGUGGCGCACGGGUGCGUAACGCGUGGGAAUCUGCCCUUGGGUUCGGAAUAACAGUGAGAAAUUACUGCUAAUACCGGAUGAUGUCUUCGGACCAAAGAUUUAUCGCCCAAGGAUGAGCCCGCGUAGGAUUAGCUAGUUGGUGGGGUAAUGGCCUACCAAGGCGACGAUCCUUAGCUGGUCUGAGAGGAUGAUCAGCCACACUGGGACUGAGACACGGCCCAGACUCCUACGGGAGGCAGCAGUGGGGAAUAUUGGACAAUGGGCGAAAGCCUGAUCCAGCAAUGCCGCGUGAGUGAUGAAGGCCUUAGGGUUGUAAAGCUCUUUUACCCGGGAUGAUAAUGACAGUACCGGGAGAAUAAGCUCCGGCUAACUCCGUG
rnacentral:rRNA from 1 species